rnacentral:rRNA from 1 species
AUUGAACGCUGGCGGCAGGCCUAACACAUGCAAGUCGAACGAGUGGCGGACGGGUGAGUAAUGUCUGGGAAACUGCCCGAUGGAGGGGGAUAACUACUGGACCCGGUAGCUAAUACCGCAUCCCAUCGGAUGUGCCCAGCUGGGAUUAGCUAGUAGGUGGGGUAACGGCUCACCUAGGCGACGAUCCCUAGCUGGUCUGAGAGGGUGACCAGCCACACUGGAACGGAGACAAGGUCCAGACUCCUACGUGAGGCAGCAGUGGGGAAUAUUGCACAAUGGGCGCAAGCCUGAUGCAGCCAUGCCGCGUGUAUGAAGAAGGCCUUCGGGUUGUAAAGUACUGUCAGCGAGGAGGCGUUACUCGCAGAAGAAGCACCGGCUAACUCCGUGCCAGCAGCCGCGGUAAUAC